rnacentral:rRNA from 2 species
AGUUUGAUCCUGGCUCAGGACGAACGCUGGCGGCGUGCCUAAUACAUGCAAGUCGAACGAACUCUGGUAUUGAUUGGUGCUUGCAUCAUGAUUUACAUUUGAGUGAGUGGCGAACUGGUGAGUAACACGUGGGAAACCUGCCCAGAAGCGGGGGAUAACACCUGGAAACAGAUGCUAAUACCGCAUAACAACUUGGACCGCAUGGUCCGAGUUUGAAAGAUGGCUUCGGCUAUCACUUUUGGAUGGUCCCGCGGCGUAUUAGCUAGAUGGUGGGGUAACGGCUCACCAUGGCAAUGAUACGUAGCCGACCUGAGA